CUUAAAUGAAGACAAGCCUUCUGUGAAGGCCUUAUAAACAAGAUUCUGGCCCUGGAGUUUCCAGGAUUCUCCAGGAUUCACCAGGAGCUGCUCGUGGCCAGCUCUGGAGCUGUUGGGGCUCAGCAGCGAUGCCAGUGGGAUGGGAGGCUGGCACCAGCAGCUCUGAUCUGGAUCCUGUGAGUCUGAGAGAAGCAGUGCCAAAGGAUUACGAGCCCUUUUGCCCAUUGCGCUGGGCGGGAAGGAAAAUCAAGUGAGCCAUUGGAAACUGCUCUCAGACUGCAGAUUCUGACCAGACUCGUGUCAGGGCUUCAGGACUUUCAUUCUUCACUUAUGGAUGUCACGUGGGACAAUGUCAGAGCCUCAGUUUCCCUGCAGGAGGGAUGGAAGUUGGGAGAUGUCACAACAACCCUGGAGAAGGUCCCCAGGAGUGAAGUGCAGAACUGCAGAUGGGCACGGUGGAGGCUGUGCUGAGCAAGGAAGGAGAAAUAAUAAGGAAAAAACAGAAUAAAUGGAG